UGUCAACGCACAUCUCUUCCAAGAUGAAUGGAAUUAUUCCUGAAAUGGAACAAAUUAUUAGUCAGCUUGAGAGAGGUACCGUAGUGACAAAAUUUUUUCCAAGAAAACGACCAGAAAGGAAAACUCUUAUGAUACGAAGAGAAACUAGACAAAUUGUUUGGUCAAGAAGUACAACUUUUAGACCUUUUGAUGGUUAUGUGGAAAUAAGAGAGGUGAAAGAAGUUAGGAUAGGAAAACAAUCUAAAGACUUUGAAAAAUGGCCUGAAGAUGCUAAAAGAACUGAAAAUUUAAGAUGUUUUGUAGUAUAUUAUGGAUCAGAAUUUAGACUGAAAACUCUUUCCAUAUCUGCUCUUAGUGAAAAAGAAUGUGAACUGUGGGUCAAAGGAUUGCGUCACUUGGUACAAGAUACUAUUAAUGCACCAUAUCCAUUACAAGUUGAGAGAUGGCUGAGAAAAGAGUUUUAUGCAAUGGAAAAUUCUCGUGAGAUGAUCACAUUGAAAGAUGUGAAAGCAUUUUUGCCUCGGGUUAAUUGCAAAAUUGCUACAAAUAGACUUAGAGAAUUGUUCCAAGAAGUUGACACGAGAAAUCGAAAUGAACUUGGUUUUGAUGAUUUUGUUAUUCUAUAUCAUAAACUGAUGUUUGAUCAAAAUAAUCUUGCGGAUUGGCAUAAAUUGUUGAAUUAUUCUAAAACUGGACAGACUGUUAUGGUCCAAGAAUUUCAGAAUUUUUUAAUAACUGAACAACAAGAUGGUUUGGGGAAUAAUGAAUUAGAAAUAUCGCGUUUUAUUAGAGAAUAUUUACAAGAUUCUCAAAGAGACAUACAAGAGCCAUAUUUUACUUUUUCCGAAUUUAUAGACUUUUUAUUUUCUAAGCACAAUGACAUAUGGAAUCAAAAAUAUAAUCAAGUUUUUCAAGAUAUGACUCGACCCCUUGCACAUUAUUGGAUAGCGUCAUCGCACAACACAUAUUUGAUGGGAGAUCAGAUUAGCAGCGAAAGUAGUUGUCAGGCAUAUGUGCGUGCGCUAAGAGCCGGAUGUAGAUGUAUAGAACUUGAUUGUUGGGAUGGUCCAGAUGGAAUGCCAUUUAUAUUUCAUGGACACACUCUUACCACUAAAAUUAAAUUCUUAGACGUUAUCAAGAUCAUCAAGGAGCAUGCUUUUGCUACAUCUGAAUAUCCUGUUAUUUUAUCUAUUGAGGAUAAUUGCACUUUACCUCAACAACGUAAAAUGGCAACGACUAUGCAAGAGGUAUUUGGUGACAUGUUGUUAGUCCAACCUAUUGACAAGAAUGAAACUUGUCUACCUUCGCCAUAUGCAUUACGUAGAAAAAUUUUGUUAAAACACAAGAAACUUCCUGAGGGUGUUGAUGAAUCCUCGUUUCUUAUUCGAAAUGAUGAAAGCAGACAAGAAAUGGAUCUUAGAAAUACCAUAAAAAAUGGAAUUCUUUAUCUAGAAGAUCCUGUCGAUAGAGAAUGGAAUUCUCAUUUUUUUGUACUGACACAACAAAAAUUGUUUUAUACAGAUACGUUUUCAAGAGCACAAGAAACUGAACACGAUGACGAUGAGGAAAGUGGCGUUCGGAGAUCGUUAGAUGGUGCGCCAAAUAACGAAUUACACUUUGGGGAAAAAUGGUUUCACGGAAAGUUAGCAAGAGGGCGAGAGGAGGCUGAAGAAUUAUUACAGCAUUAUUCCUAUCUUGGAGAUGGUACAUUUCUAGUACGACAAUGUGUUACAUUUGUGGGUGAUUACUGUUUAUCGUUUUGGCGUAAAGGAAAGGUGAACCAUUGUCGUAUCAAACUGAAGCAAGAAAUGGGUCAAACACAGUAUUAUCUCAUUGAUACCAAUUGUUUUGACAGUCUUUACAGUUUAAUUACUCAUUAUCGUAAUCAUCCACUUAGAAGCCAAGAAUUUCUAAUUACGUUACAAGAACCAGUGCCUCAGCCAAAUAAACAUGAGGAAAAAGAAUGGUGGCAUCCCGAAUGUACUCGAAUUGCAGCAGAAGAGAUGCUAAAGCGUAUACCUACAGAUGGUGCAUUUUUAGUAAGACCUAGUGAAAGAGAAAGUAAUUGCUAUGCAAUUUCAUUUAGAGCGGAAAAGAAGAUAAAGCACUGUAAAAUAAAACUUGAAGGAAGACUCUACACCACUGGGACUGUAGAAUUUGAAAGUUUAGUUGAAUUAGUCAAUUAUUACGAACGGCAUCCAUUGUUUAAAAAGAUUAAAUUAAGUUAUCCUGUUAAUCAGGACAUUAUCAGAAGAAUGGGUUUGGAUAAUGAUGAUGGAUCUGUUUACGGCAUCCCUGGUUAUAUGGAUCCUACAAGUUUUACAUCAAAAGUUACUGUUAAAGCUAUUUAUGAUUAUAAAGCUAGAAGAGAGGACGAAUUGACGUUGGUUAAGCAUGCUAUAAUUACUAAUGUUAAUCCGCAAAGUGGAGGAUGGUGGAGAGGAGAUUAUGGUGGCAAGAAACAACAUUGGUUUCCUGCUAAUUAUGUAGAACAAAUUGAUCAACAAGAAACUCAAGGAGAUUCAUCCGAUUCUAUGAUGCUUGGUAACUUGCAAAAAGGUUCGUUGGAUAUAAUGGGUGCUGUGGUAGAAUUAACAGUUGGAGAAAGACCAGGUUUGGAAUGGAUCUUAAGAAUACAAAAUCCUAGUAUGUGUUCAGUAUUUGAAAUCGCAACACCUUCAAAAGAUACUGCAUUAGAAUGGAUGUCAAGUAUUAAAGAGACUGCACAAAAUGCAAGUGUUAGGGAAAGUCAACACAAAGAGAUGGAAAGGGCAUGGAGAAUAGCCAAGGAAAUGUCUAAUCUUAUCGUAUAUUGUAGAUCAGUUGCAUUUAACAUAGAACGAAUAAGAACUAAGGGAUUUACGUUUAAUGAAAUGAGUAGUUUUCCUGAAACAAAGGCUGAAAAGUUAAUAUGUCAACAAGAAAAUAAAUUUUUUAUAAAAUAUCAUCAGGUUCAAUUCAGUAGAGUUUAUCCAAAGGGGCAACGUAUCGAUUCAAGUAAUUUUAAUCCUGUACCAAUGUGGAAUUCUGGUUGUCAAAUGGUGGCUUUGAACUACCAGACUGGAGAUAAAUCAAUGCAAUUGAAUCAAGCUAAAUUUAAAGAGAAUGGAAAUUGUGGCUAUUUAUUGAAACCAGAAUUCAUGUUUAGACACGACUUCAAUCCAUAUGACAAAAAUACAUUGCAUGGAGUUGAAUCGCUCAAGAUUAGCUUAAAAAUUAUUGGAGCGAGACAUUUAAUGAGAUCAGGAAGAGGCACUGCCAGUCCAUCCGUCGAGAUCGAAAUUGUAGGCGCAGAUUUUGAUUCAGGGACGAAAUUAACAACAAGGACAAUACAGGAUAAUGGAUUUAAUCCAAUGUGGAAUGAGACAUGUGAAUUUGAAAUAUCUAAUCCAUAUUUUGCUCUUAUACGAUUUUUGGUGCAAGACGAAGAUAUGUUUGGCGAUAGCAAUUUCAUAGGACAAGCUACUUAUCCAGUACGCUGUUUAAGAACAGGAUAUCGAAGUGUUCCAUUAAAAAACAUGUACAGCGAAGAUCUUGAGCUUGCUUCCUUAUUAGUACACAUUAAUAUUACAAUUUUAUCGGUACAUAAUGCAUGACAUAAAUUAACAAAGAUGAAAAUCUGUGUUAUAAUAUAUUAAAGUUGUAAACUAGUAAAUUUACUAAAUUAAAGAGAUGAAGGAUGAUGUAGUUAUUGUAAGUGGAAAUCAAAAAAAUACUACACAAUUGCAUAAAAUUGACAGAUCAGAUUACAUUAUUAGAAGACUAUACAUUUAUGUUGAAUUUUGACGAAUUGUGUGUGUGUGUGUGUGUGUGUGUGUGUGUGUGUGUGUGUGUGUGUGUGUGUGUGUGUGUGUGUGUGUGUGUGUGUGUGUGUGUGUGUAAUUGCAACAAUUUGUUGGAAGUAAAAAUAUUUCUAUAAUUGCAGUAGGAAACAAAGAUAAAUAAGUAAUCUAAAUAAAUAUUCUUGUGUUAAAAAAAGAGUAGAAUUAAAAUUUAGAACAAUUAGUCAAAAAAUAGACAUGACAUAAUUUUGUUGCGCGUGCGCAAUAAUAAUUUAUGCUGUUAAUGAUAUACCAAUUUGUCUUUGAAAAAUGGCUCUACAUAUCAUAUAACGACUGAAUAAUUUCUUCUUAUAAAUUUUAAUUUAUCAUAAGCAUUAUAUUUUAUACUUAUAUAUAGUAUCUGUUAAUACUUUACUUUUAAUUUGAAAUAAAAGAAAUGAUUGUGUGCGUUGAAGUAAAUAUAUAAGUGAAAAAUUUUAAAUUCGGACUUUGCAUCACAAUAUCUCCACUCGUAGGGCAUGUAGAGUAAAAAGAAAAACAGUUUUCUUAUACAAAUCAAACCCAAACUUUCGAUUGAGCCUGGUUAGAACUUGAUCGAUUUAGUUGUUAUUGAGCUCUGAUAAUCUCAGGUGCUCGCAAGUUGUGUACUCCCGUAUAAUACACGGGGUGACCUCGCCCUGCUCGUUCACUUGGCGCGAGACACUGCUGUCUCUUGAUAACGAAAAAAAAAAGAAAUGUAAUAAACAGCACAAGAGUACACUAUAAUUGAGAAUCUCAUAUGCACAUUACACAGAUGUGUAACAUAAUUGCCUUUAACAUGAAUAUAGGCUCUUCCCUAUUUAAAUUGCGUUUUUAACAAAGUUACCGCGCUAUAUUACGUGGAUUCUAUAUUAUAUGAAUGCCUGCUUCUAUGUUGAUAAAAUAAAUAUAGCGAGCAAUAAUUGUAACCAAAGUGAUAUUGUAUAUUUGCAUGGAGUAAGAGUAGAGGAGGACGAUCUUCAUAGCGUGCGAGUAGCAAAAGUGACCCCGUUUUUAGACUCCUAAAUUUUAUGUAGUAAGUUUUGCUUUGUUACAAAUACGACUAAGCAUAUCAAAAUAAAUAGUUCUGCAGAACAUGUGUUACGGAUAUCAUAGGUAACUGAUAAAGAGAAUAAAGAAGUUUAUAGAUA
rnacentral:misc_RNA from 1 species